GCGAAAUCUGUAAUUUGCGAAAUCUGUAAUUUGCGAAAUCUGCAGUUUGCGAAAUCUGUAAUUUGCGAAAUAUCUAUAGUUUAGGGUAAAAUAAAAAAUGUUCACAUGUUCCGAGGGUGAGGCGUCAGCAGUACAAUUAAAUUCUGUGCAAGUUAACCUAGUUAAUUAAGAACCUACCUGACUACACGAAGUCAUAAUUGCGAUAAAACGUUAUCACAAUAAAUUGCUUUACUUGUAUUAGUUAUAUUUCAGUGGCAGUGUCAAAUAAACUUCUUUAUAUAAUUAUAUAUCUGAGACUGCAAAAUGUAAAAGUUUAAGAUUGAAAAUACACCAUUGCCAGCAAAUUGAUUGGAAAUUUUGCCUUGAAUAUGGGAUUUUCCCGGAAAUUCUUCAGAUGGUCAAGUGGAUCGCAGCCGCGAGGUUUGACAUAAAAAUGAUGGUGAUCGCAUCCAAAACUUUCGAAAAGGUAAACAUUUUUUUGACUUUCUGCUGUAUGUUUUCGCAAACUGCAAAUUUGAAUAGCAAACUAUCUAGAGAUUUCGCAAACUGCAGAUUUCGCAAACUGCAGAUUUCGCAAAGUGCAGAUUUCGCAAAUUACAGAUUUCGCAAAUUACAGUUUCGCAAAGUGCAGAUUUUGUUUCGUUUCGUUUCGUAAACUACAGUAAGCCCUAUCCCAGUGGUUCUGCAUCGAUCAUCAGUUCACAAUUUUAUUUUAAGUCCACAACAGGUGGGUUUCACUUAAAAUUAUCCCUUUCAAAAGCAUUGUAUGAUUGUAAUACUUUAUGAAAUACAAAAUUUCUAUAUUUAUUUUAUGUGGCCUAAUGCACCUAUCAAUGUUAACCCCCAGAGGGGGGUAGGUGGGGCAUAUGUGGGGUAUUUGAUCAUCAAUUGCAUCCCACCCUGGGGAUUUUGAUUAGCAUUUUGGCCCUGAGUUGGGGCAAUUUGAACCAAAUGACUGUUAUUAAUAUAGUAUUUAUUGCAAUUUAUUGCAAAAUGGUGGGGCAUUUGACCAAUAUUUAUUGCCCGACGGUGGGGCAUUUGAUUGAAAAUUUGCUCAAAAAAUCAAAUGCCCCACCUAUGCCCGACCCCCCCCCCCCUCUCGGGGGCUUAACAUUGAUAGGUG
rnacentral:lncRNA from 1 species